rnacentral:misc_RNA from 1 species
AAGUCGUAACAAGGUUUCCGUAGGUGAACCUGCGGAAGGAUCAUUGUUGUGGAGUAGAGGGGGAUGUUGGAAUGAAAUAUAGAUAUCACGUGACAAACUAUUCUUUAUCAAAAUGACUAGCCACCUGGGAUCUCUGGGCUCUU